rnacentral:tRNA from 1 species
GUGCUCGUAGCUCAGUUGGAUAGAGUGUCAGCCUCCGAAGCUGAAGGUCAGUGGUUCAAAUCCACUCGGGCACACCA